UACCCUACAAAAUUAGCUUGUAAGGCGGGGGAGUCAACUUAUGUAAACACAUUUUCAGGUCUUAUCGUCAAAUAUGAUACUAUUAAUACAACUCUCUCGAGUCCAAAGAUUGAAUAUCUGAAGUGUGACUUGAGUGAUCGGAUGAGAGUUUCCAAGAUGCGUUGCGCCUCUUGCAAUCGGAUGAGACACCAAAAGUCUAGUAUUCAGUGUCAGAUGGGUGUGUGCUGGCAGUAUUACGUUGGGUGAUAUAUGACCUGAAAGUUUUUGAGUUAUUUCCCUCAUCUUACAAGUCAAUUGUGUAAAGUUAAGUUAGGCCCAAGUUAAAUUCUAAGUAGCUACGAAGGUCUAUCCUUGAUCGGUUGAAUCACACUUCAAAGGUUCAGUCCUGAAUUUGAGGGGUGUGUUAACUAUUCUACAUUAUGACCUGAAAAUGUGUUUAUAAAUGGGAGGUAUCCAUCACCUUAUAAAUUCAUUCAUUCAUGAAAUUUAAUGAUGCUAUCAUCUGCAAUUGAGCUGUUUUUAAUAUUUUUGUUUAUGUUUACAGUUCGACGCCAACUUCCAAACGAAAGAAGCGGAAAGUUGGAAGCAAAGAGUAAGAUUUUAUCCUGGAAGGACCUGAAAUUUAUUCUCCUUAUUUUGUUGUCCUUACAUGUGCUGUGAAAACACUGAUUUUGAGUGUCUCCAUAGGCUAAUUAGCUAGUAAUAUUUUUUUAUUUGGUUAGCAUUAAAUAUUUUCUGCAAGAUUGUAUAUAUGUGAGAAAAAACCAGUGCGGAAAAUGAAGAUAUGAAGUUUUGCAAUCUUUCAAUGAGUUUUUUUUUUCUUCAGAAUAACCUUUUUUAUUUUUAUUUUUACGGUAAUUUAUCUUUCAAUUUGCAUGAUUUAGAAACAGUUGGAGUAAAUAUGUUGAUUUAAUU
rnacentral:lncRNA from 1 species